UACGGAGGAUGCGAGCGUUAUCCGGAUUUACUGGGUGUAAAGGGAGCGUAGACGGCCAGACAAGUCUGAAGUGAAAAUCCAGCGCUUAACGUUGGAAGUGCUUUGGAAACUGCCGGGCUGGAGUGCAGGAGGGGCAGGCGGAAUUCCUGGUGUAGCGGUGAAAUGCGUAGAUAUAUGGAAGAACACCAGUGGCGAAGGCGGCUCUCUGGUCUGCAACUGACGCUGAGGCUCGAAAGCAUGGGUAGCGAACAGG
rnacentral:rRNA from 1 species